CUCUAGCUGACGAGUCUCAAAUAGGACGAAACGUACGUCCUGGAU
rfam:Schistosoma mattheei strain Denwood, Zambia genome assembly, scaffold: SMTD_scaffold0000126